rnacentral:rRNA from 1 species
UUGCAUAUCCAAAAAGCGGAGGAAAAGAAACCAACCGGGAUUGCCUUAGUAACGGCGAGUGAAGCGGCAAAAGCUCAAAUUUGAAAUCUGGUACCUUCGGUGCCCGAGUUGUAAUUUGGAGAGGGCAACUUUGGGGCCGUUCCUUGUCUAUGUUCCUUGGAACAGGACGUCAUAGAGGGUGAGAAUCCCGUGUGGCGAGGAGUGCGGUUCUUUGUAAAGUGCCUUCGAAGAGUCGAGUUGUUUGGGAAUGCAGCUCUAAGUGGGUGGUAAAUUCCAUCUAAAGCUAAAUAUUGGCGAGAGACCGAUAGCGAACAAGUACAGUGAUGGAAAGAUGAAAAGAACUUUGAAAAGAGAGUGAAAAAGUACGUGAAAUUGUUGAAAGGGAAGGGCAUUUGAUCAGACAUGGUGUUUUGUGCCCUCUGCUCCUUGUGGGUAGGGGAAUCUCGCAUUUCACUGGGCCAGCAUCAGUUUUGGUGGCAGGAUAAAUCCAUAGGAAUGUAGCUUGCCUCGGUAAGUAUUAUAGCCUGUGGGAAUACUGCCAGCUGGGACUGAGGACUGCGACGUAAGUCAAGGAUGCUGGCAUAAUGGUUAUAUGCCGCCCGUCUUGAA